GGCAAUAUGGCCGAGUGGUCUAAGGCGCCAGAAUCAGGUUUCAGCAUUUGAAAUUAAUCUGGUCCGAAAGGGCGAGGGUUCGAAUCCCUCUGUUGUCA